UCCUACGGGAGGCAGCAGUGGGGAAUAUUGGACAAUGGGCGCAAGCCUGAUCCAGCCAUGCCGCGUGAGUGAUGAAGGCCUUAGGGUUGUAAAGCUCUUUCACCGAUGAAGAUAAUGACGGUAACCGGAGAAGAAGCCCCGGCUAACUUCGUGCCAGCAGCCGCGGUAAUACGAAGGGGGCUAGCGUUGUUCGGAUUUACUGGGCGUAAAGCGCACGUAGGCGGAUCGAUCAGUCAGGGGUGAAAUCCCAGGGCUCAACCCUGGAACUGCCUUUGAUACUGUCGAUCUGGAGUAUGGAAGAGGUGAGUGGAAUUCCGAGUGUAGAGGUGAAAUUCGUAGAUAUUCGGAGGAACACCAGUGGCGAAGGCGGCUCACUGGACCAUUACUAACGAUGAGGUGAGAAAGCGUAGGGAGCAA
rnacentral:rRNA from 1 species